rnacentral:lncRNA from 1 species
UGCAAUGGAGAAAGGUAAGCAAAUAGACAUUGGCAACGGCAGCAGGCAACAUGGUGGCAGCCGAGCUAAGAGCAAGAACAUGUCCAUAGAUCGUAGCAGAGUAAGAGUUUUGUUGUGUGACCGCGAUGCCGAGAGUUGUGAGGAGGUUUGCACACUACUGACAACAUGCUGUUAUCAGGGUACAUAAUGUUAUGUAACGUAACGUACAUAUAUGCAUAUGUCAAUCCUUUCUUCUUGCAUGUUGAUUAUGGGCUGAAACAAAAUUCCCAAUUAGUUUGUUUUCUUACAUUACAAACAUUUGGAGUUUGGAUGUAUAAUAUGCAGCAGCUCUGUCUUCUAGCAUGUGCAACCUUGAAUUCUGAUAUUAUCUAUCCAUGUAGGUUAUGACUUACAACAUCUUUAGAAAAUUAAUUAAGAUCCUUAAUUUUGCAUAACAGUAAUAUCAGUAAGUUCUGCUGUGGAGGUGUUGGAUGCUCUGAAUGCUGAGUGGUCAUUCAUUGAUAUCAUACUUGCUGCAGUUGACCUUCCCAUAGAUGCAAGCAUGAGAAUGUUGAAAUAUAUAAUGCAGGAUCUGCAUUUCAAGCAUAUCCCAGUGAUAAGUAAGCUUAUUAGUUUUACUUCUUGUUGUUUCUUUAAACUUUCUGAAAAGAAAGUUGAAAUGUCUAAAAAGGAAGAAUAUAUAACAUCACAAACUUUAUGCACUAUAUUUCUUGCAUCAAAAUGGAUACAAACAAUAUGCUUGCCAAGCCGUGUAAAUCAGCACAUCUUACUUUGCUUUCCUUGCUGUUUUGAAGUGCUGUCCACGCAGAACGAAAGCCGUUUUCUUUACAAUUUCUUAAAAUUUGGUGCUACUGAUUAUCUGGUCAAGCCACUAUGCAUUGAUGAGAUAUUAAACAUGUGGAUCCACUCUUGGAGGCAGAGGAAGCCUCCAAAGGUAGGCAUCUGUCUUAUCUUUUAACCACUUGGGAAUGGCUGGUUACUGAGUGUUUUCAACAUUGUACUCAAAGCUUUCCCAUAUGACCAACUAGACAAACAGUUGAAUCGAAAAACACUCGUAUAUGUUUGUGUUUGUGUGUUUUUGUACUUCGUUUGGCUUGACUUUUCUCUCUCUUACAGGGGCUCGAGCCGCCACAGAAGAGCAUUAGUCUCGUGGUUUCAGCUGAAGCAACUACGAACAACAUCUUGGUCUUAGAUGACACUACCAGAGAUGAAGAGUUUCCAGAGGAUCCAGAGCCAACUUUGUGUGUAUCAAAAAAAUAAAUGGCAUGAUUAUAAUUACUAAGCUUGUGUGUUGCAAAUAAAAGUUCGGUUAUCCAUGAACUUUUCUUUUUGAUCAAGUUAUCCAUGAACUUGAAAAACCAAAUUGUUCCAGGAAAAUAAACCUAUGCUCCAUGAAGGCAAUGCUUAGGCUCAGAAGGGUUUAUUUUAUAGUUUAUGCUUGCCUUUAUGGUUCAAAGUAUUUUAAUGGUUUCCGGAUGUAAUCAGUGGUAUUAAAAAGCAAGGUGAACAAAUUUGAACGUCAAGUUUUACCUUCUCAUCAUCUUACUUCAAUGCCGCUUAAGCUCACUCAUAGGCAAGUUUUGAGGAGUUGGAAAAUUCAAUAUUUUGAUUUAGUAAAUAAUCUGAC